rnacentral:rRNA from 1 species
GGGCUGCAGGCGCGAAACCUUUACAAUGCACGCAAGUGCGAUAAGGGGACCCCGAGUGUUGGUGCCUAGCAUCAACUGUCCAACUGUCUAAAAAACAGUUAUUAGCAAGAGCCGGGUAAGACCGGUGCCAGCCGCCGCGGUAACACCGGCGGCUCGAGUGGUGACCGCUAUUAUUGGGUCUAAAGGGUCCGUAGCCGGCCUAAUAAGUUCCUUGGGAAAUCUGGCGGCUUAACCGUCAGGCUGCUGAGGGAUACUGUUAGGCUUGAGACCAGGAGAGGCUAGAGGUACCUCAGGGGUAGGGGUGAAAUCCUGUGAUCCCUGAGAGACCACCAGUGGCGAAGGCGUCUAGCUAGAACGGGUCUGACGGUGAGGGACGAAAGCUAGGGGCACGAACCGGAUUAGAUACCCGAGUAGUC